UAGAUUGGCUGCUGAUGAAGAUUAUGGUAAGGUUAAACCACCACAUGGCAGCCUCCUCUCCCUCACCUCCACGAACAUUCUAGAUCAUGAAUACAUGAAACUUUCAACUCAAAACUCGAAAGAUCAAAGACGCAGGUAUUGGUGAAGAGUGAUCAGAGAUGCAAUGCACACUAAGAGCACAAUAUAAUAAAUAUUACAAGCGUGCACGCAGCACGCGUACAAAUUUACAUGUUACACCCACCCUCAGCAUUUUAAACCUCUCUCACGCACUACAUUCCAUGGACGAUGGGUACCAUCAUGGCGAUGCACGGAUCGAUCGAUCGAUUUGAUGAUGCCUUUAGUGGAACUUGAGGCUGGUGAGGAUGUUGUUGUUGACGGGGUCGGAGAGGUGGUCGAGGAGGUUCUGGAAGGGGCCGACGCCGGUGAAGAUGGCCUGGAUGGACAUGCCGAGGAAGGCGAGCAUGGCAAGGCGGCCGUUCUUGAUCUCCUUGAGCUUGAGCUCUGCCAACUCCUUGUCGCUCUUGGUGCCGAAGCCGAGCGGGUUGAAGAUGGGCCCGCCGGGGUAGGCGGGGUCGCCGGAGCCGCCGAGGAACUUCUCCAGGCCCAGGAAGUACUGCUUCCCCAUGGAGCCUGGGUUGUACCAGUCCUGCAGCCGCCGGUGCUCCGCGAACCCGAUCAGCGCCAUCUCGAACACGAACAGCGUGUAGGGGUCGGCCCAGUACUGGUACGUGCCCGCAGGCGGGAUGGCGCCCGCCUGGAACCACGGGAUCGCCGUCUCCGGCGGGACAAGCCCGACCUUGCCCAAGGCCUCCGGUGCGAUCAUGCCCACCACGCCCAUCAUCGCCGUCCGCCCGUUGAAGACCUCGCCGUAG
rnacentral:lncRNA from 1 species